CGACUCUCGGCAACGGAUAUCUCGGCUCUCGCAUCGAUGAAGAACGUAGCGAAAUGCGAUACUUGGUGUGAAUUGCAGAAUCCCGUGAACCAUCGAGUCUUUGAACGCAAGUUGCGCCCGAAACCAUCYGGUUGAGGGCACGUCUGCCUGGGCGUCACGCAUC
rnacentral:rRNA from 1 species